ensembl:lncRNA
CUCCCAGGGUUUUUUCUAGUGCUUUUAAGACUUCAUGUUUAAUAUCUGGGAUUCAUCCAGAUGAAGACGGUGAGAUAGAGACCCACUUCCUUUUCCCCAGCUCCGCAGUGUUUUACUGACAGAAGACUGCAGAAUUUUGUAAUGACUUGGUAACUUAUCUUUCUCCCCAACUGAUUUUGAAGUGUGUCAGAGCAGAAACCUUGGUUUCAUGUUUUUGUUUCGUAAUCCACCCUGCCCCUUUAACCCACUUCAGCCGAUUCACCAGAACUUCACCUAGCGUCUGGCAAUUAAACAGUUCUGAUUCUGCAUUUCUUGACUGCUGGGGAGGUAAGAUCCGCCUGGGUUAAGCCAGGCCUACCCGGGGAGCGGCUGAAAAUGAGGCUGGACCUUCUGGGCCUUUUCGUUAAACUCAGGCUCGUACUAACUAGCCGAGCCAAGUGAGUCACACCGACACACGUAGAGGAUGGCGUCCCAAGGGGAGAGAGUUAUCUCGGAAGGAGCCGAGCCUGCCUGGAGCCAGAGCUUCUCGGCUGGCACUGCAGACAAGCAGCUGCUGCCACAGCAAACCACAGAGCAACAAGCAGCCCGGCUUGCGCAAGUACAUAGUUGUAUGUUCUAGUUGUGAGUGCCUCUGGUUGUGCUAUGUGGGACACCGCCUCAACAUGGCCUGAUGAGUGGUGCCAUGUCCACGAGCAGGAUCCAAACUGGCGAAACCCUGGGCCACCGAAGCAGAGCACGCGAACUUAACCACCACGGGGCCGGCCCACUGGCGUUUCCAUCUUUGUGCUUCUCAGAGAGCACAGUCAGCGUGCGUGGCAUUCACCCUGUGCCGCUGUAGCUCCUGAAGACACGAUGAUGAGAAAAACAGGCGUGGUCCCCAACCUCGCAGAGCCUCCUUUCCUGAGGGGAAGAUGCAGAUGUGGGAAACCAGGGAAAGCGGAGAAAUGGCAUCUCAACCAUUCUGUGGAGGAGAAGAGAGGGAAGUUCACUGGACAAAGGACUGCUGGAAGAAGGCAGAAGGGGCACGGACUCCACGUGGAGGAGCAGCAUCUCGGACGCCCUCGAACUGCCCUUCCUCCGUCCAUGCCUGGGAGCUAGAAGCCAGCCACCAGUGCACGUGACUUGAGAAAGAGCCCACGGCGGUAAAGAGUGUGGAGCAUCUGCCAGAACUAAAGGAGCGUGAUGAUGACCAGACUCAGCAGGCCCCGUGGGACCGGGCAUCCAACUGCCUUCACAGUUGGUGGCAGCUUCAGAAACGUUGUUCCCUGAAUCCACAUGCAUCCGUUUUCCAGGGCACAAAACCAGCCUGGGAAGGUCCCCAUGACACCACCAACAGGCAUUAUUACCACCUGGAGGACCCCUGACUACGCUGUUGUUGCCCAACCUUUUGAACCAUAUGGCCUCCUGUGUAAAUAUAAAAAUACGUUAAGCAUCAGGAUUCAAACCCAACCAAACCCAACCAAAGGGUUCUGAUUUGAUCUGGAAAAGCAUUUUGCCUGAAUGGUGACAGCAGCAUGAACUGGUGGCAUGCAGCAUGGGAGAGGGCCAUUGAGGCCAUUUUGACGUGAAGGCCACUGGGCUUGUCUUUGAGCCACAGGUGACCUCCCCAAGACUGUGACCCGCGUUCCCCUCACCACCACCAGUGAGAUGACCCUAGUUCUCCGGAGCCACAAAAGACAACAACAAAUAAAAUAACAUGUAAUGCAAAAGAUACGCCGGUAGAGCAACAUGUAUGCAGACUUACAGACGUAAGUUGACAGGCACGCCCCUUGGCAGAAUAUUCUCUGGGGCACCCUACAACCACACGUCUACACUCUGUAGGGCCCCUCAGACAAGGUUUGUGAAGUGUGGCAGUGUGGCCUGGCCACCGCAUCUUCUGACAGUGAAUCCUAGUUCUUUAACACACAGCAGCAGCUGCCGCCCGAAGAUGGCCGGGAUGUGAUUGUGGUGGCUUCUCUUCCAAGAGGCCAGUCACACGAGGUCUCACCUCUGAGUCAGAAAUAUUUACUUCUGCUUCUUCAGAACUCCCACCAAAAAGAGAAAAACCACUCUCAGAAGCUCUGUUCCAGCUCACAAGUCCCUGGGGCAUAAACCAGGGCUGUGAGCAGUGGCCGGGUGCCUGGCUGGGUCUUCAGCCUCCCGUGGCGUCUGCCAACACCGAGCUCCUGGGGAGGGCUCCUGGGCCUUCGGUUUAAAGGUUUUCUUUGGUGUGGUGGGAAGACAGGAUGAAAACAGAAAAGAAAUGGAAAAACGGGAAACCGUGGCAUGUGUAAGGAAAUGAGAGGUAUGCACGGAGCGCUUUUGUGCAGCCUGAAGCGUGAUGGUUGUCAAGAGGAGAAACACCCGUAUGAUGGCUUGGGUUGCAAGCUGAACUAGCCACUUUUUCGUGGAACACAAUUUUUACUUGAAAGAAUGACUGACAGACAAACUGUGGUUAUUCAGACUUGGGUAUCUGGCAGACAUUUGAUCAAAAAUGAACAAAGUGAGCCUGUCACUGCAAGGAAAACAACUGAUGGGAUUUGUUGCCAAUAGCACAACUUUAGCUUUCAAAUGAAACUUCGAGUUUGGGAAAACCAGAGCUUGCAGCUGCCCAAUAAUGAAAGGGCUCUGAUGAGAAUGCUGUGACAUGGACAAAUUGAUUUUUGAUAUUGUAUAAUGAAAUUGUCAAAUUAGAAUGAUUUGUAUAAUUUGGUGAACCAAUGAAUUUUUAUCCGUGCAUGAUUUUGUAACAUCAUACAUUUUGGUACUUUGGCUGAAAUACAAUGAUGGCCACUGGAAUGUCGUCGCUGCAGUGAAUUGUCGUCUCUCCUAC